CUUGCAGCCACAGAGCAAAUAUAUAUGAAACAUAUGAAUAGGGAAAGAAAGAAUAACAAAAAAUACUCUUGUUCAGUACGUAGCUGGUACGUACCAGAUACUGGUCAUAAUUGGAAGCUUGAACAAACUGCUUAAAAGUUAAAACUUGGAGUCUUGGAAGGCAGGGCUAAUGACAACUUUCUCAGAGAGAGAGAGAGAUGUUAAGGUGUAUUAUGAAUAUGAUAGGGAUUUGCAAGUCACUGAGACGUUCUUAGCAAGAGAAGUUUGAAAGAGAAGUUUGAUGUAGAUCGCUCCAUGAUGGAUAUGUGGGAGAAAUAUUAGAUCGGUGGUCAUUUAGAAUCAGAGUAAGGAAGACGAUAGCAUCAUAC
rnacentral:lncRNA from 1 species